rnacentral:ncRNA from 1 species
CUCAGGGCGGGGUGAAAGUCCCCACCGGUGGUUACAGUCCACGAGCGUGCGGCGGUUUUCUAUCUGUCGCAGUCAGCAGAUCCGGUGUGAUUCCGGAACCGACGGUGACAGUCCGGAAGAAAGAGUG